GCGGCCAAGGAAGAUGAAGAUCCAGUUUCGGACGUGAGACUCACUGGGUGAUCAUUUCAUUGAGAUCAACUUAAAUGAACAGGUGAAAAGUGCAAGAGGAAUGUGCUAUGACUGAGACAACGUGAAUAUUUUUUCUUGCCAGUCUACUUCUUCUGAUUUCACAAAAGAUAUAUCUCCAGCAGCCCCUAAAGCCUAGGAGUCCAGUAAAUCAUCAAACACACUCAUGACUGAAAAACUGCGGGAAGAAGCAGAAUGGGAAAGCAUAAAUGUGCUGUUGAUGAGGCAUGGCCUAAAACCUUUGUCUCUAGUCAAAAGAACUGAUCUUAAAGAUCUCAUCGUUUUUGACAAACAGUCAUCACAAAGGAUGAGGCAGAAUUUGGAAACAUUGGUGGAAGAAACAACACGUCAACAGAACAUGAUCCAGGAGCUCAUAGAAACUAAUCAGCAGCUUAAAAAUGAACUUCAGUUAGAACAAAGCCGAGCAGCCGAUCAUGAACAACGAGCUAAUGACUUGGAACAAAUUAUGGAGAGUGUGAAGUCCAAAAUUGAUGAAUUGGAGGAUGAAUCUCUAAAUAGGGUUUGCCAGCAACAGAAUAUAAUAAAAGAUCUUCAAAAGGAGCAUAAAGCUUUACAGGCAAAAUGUCAGCAUUAUAAGGAAAAACGAAUGGAGCAACAAGAGACUAUUGCUUCUUUGCAAAAGGAUAUCUAUAGAUUAACAAAGGAGGAAGAAGAGCGCAUUGUCACUCAAAACAGAGUGUUUGCUUAUCUCUGCAAAAGAGUUCCUCAUACCAUCUUGGAUAGACAGUUGCUUUGCCUAAUUGAUUACUAUGAAUGUAAAAUUAGAAAAUUGCAUAAACAAAGGCAAUAUAAAGAAAAUGAAAGUCCGUCAGAAGAAGAAAAAGACUACAGAAGUUUGGAUGCCUCACCAACUUAUAAAGGCCUUCUAAUGUCAUUACAGAAUCAACUCAAGGAAUCGAAAUCCAAGAUUGAUGCACUUUUAAGUGAAAAGCUGAAUCUCCAAAAAGAUUUGGAAACCAGGCCCACACAGCAUGAAUUAAGACUUUAUAAACAACAGGUGAAGAAACUGGAGAAAGCCCUUAAGAAAGACAUCAAAUUACAGGAUCUUAUCAGUCAAAAAAAGGCAGAGGACCCAGAGAAACCAGAUGAACCCAGCAAAGAUAACCAGCGGCAGGCCCUAAUUGACCAGAGAUACUUUCAGGUUCUGAAUAGCAUCAAUUCAAUUGUUCACAAUCCAAGAGCUCCAGUAAUAAUUUAUAAACAGAGCAAAGGAGGAGCCCAACAUUUUAAUAAAGAUCUUGUUCAGGAUUGUGGAUUUGAGCAUCUUAUUCCUAUAAUAGAAAUGUGGGCAGAUCAACUGACUUCCCUAAAGGUAAGGGGUUGA